GCCUCUCGGCAACGAAUAUCUUGGCUCUCGCAUCGAUGAAGAACGUAGCGAAAUGCGAUACCUGGUGUGAAUUGCAGAAUCCCGCGAACCAUCGAGUCUUUGAACGCAAGUUGCGCCCGAGGCCACCCGGUCGAGGGCACGCCUGCCUGGGCGUCA
rnacentral:rRNA from 1 species